AAUUACAGAAAAAACUGCUUGUGAACCUACCACUCUCCUGAAUUUUUUGGAACCUACUAAGCCUUGGGAGAGGGACUGGCAUCCAUUACAAGAGAAACUGCUUGAUUAUGUGCUGGACCGAAAUUGCCCUGGCAGUGAAAUAAUUGUGAAGGAGGGGCAAGUGUGCCUUAUUCGAGAAGAAUUUUGGAGCCUUGGAUUGUUGAGGGACAUGGACUCCCAUAUUGGAAACGCCUGCAUGAAG